UUUUCGGAGGUACUCGAGUGGCGAACGGGUGAGUAACACGUGGGUGAUCUGCCCUGCACUCUGGGAUAAGCCUGGGAAACUGGGUCUAAUACCGGAUAGGACCGCACUUUAGUGUGUGUGGUGGAAAGUUUUUUCGGUGUAGGAUGAGCCCGCGGCCUAUCAGCUUGUUGGUGGGGUAAUGGCCUACCAAGGCGGCGACGGGUAGCCGGACUGAGAGGUUGGUCGGCCACAUUGGGACUGAGAUACGGCCCAG
rnacentral:rRNA from 1 species